GAUGAACGCUGGCGGCGUGCCUAAUACAUGCAAGUCGAGCGAACGGACGAGAAGCUUGCUUCUCUGAUGUUAGCGGCGGACGGGUGAGUAACACGUGGAUAACCUACCUAUAAGACUGGGAUAACUUCGGGAAACCGGAGCUAAUACCGGAUAAUAUUUUGAACCGCAUGGUUCAAAAGUGAAAGACGGUCUUGCUGUCACUUAUAGAUGGAUCCGCGCUGCAUUAGCUAGUUGGUAAGGUAACGGCUUACCAAGGCAACGAUGCAUAGCCGACCUGAGAGGGUGAUCGGCCACACUGGAACUGAGACACGGUCCAGACUCCUACGGGAGGCAGCAGUAGGGAAUCUUCCGCAAUGGGCGAAAGCCUGACGGAGCAACGCCGCGUGAGUGAUGAAGGUCUUCGGAUCGUAAAACUCUGUUAUUAGGGAAGAACAUAUGUGUAAGUAACUGUGCACAUCUUGACGGUACCUAAUCAGAAAGCCACGGCUAACUACGUGCCAGCAGCCGCGGUAAUACGUAGGUGGCAAGCGUUAUCCGGAAUUAUUGGGCGUAAAGCGCGCGUAGGCGGUUUUUUAAGUCUGAUGUGAAAGCCCACGGCUCAACCGUGGAGGGUCAUUGGAAACUGGAAAACUUGAGUGCAGAAGAGGAAAGUGGAAUUCCAUGUGUAGCGGUGAAAUGCGCAGAGAUAUGGAGGAACACCAGUGGCGAAGGCGACUUUCUGGUCUGUAACUGACGCUGAUGUGCGAAAGCGUGGGGAUCAAACAGGAUUAGAUACCCUGGUAGUCCACGCCGUAAACGAUGAGUGCUAAGUGUUAGGGGGUUUCCGCCCCUUAGUGCUGCAGCUAACGCAUUAAGCACUCCGCCUGGGGAGUACGACCGCAAGGUUGAAACUCAAAGGAAUUGACGGGGACCCGCACAAGCGGUGGAGCAUGUGGUUUAAUUCGAAGCAACGCGAAGAACCUUACCAAAUCUUGACAUCCUUUGACAACUCUAGAGAUAGAGCCUUCCCCUUCGGGGGACAAAGUGACAGGUGGUGCAUGGUUGUCGUCAGCUCGUGUCGUGAGAUGUUGGGUUACGUCCCGCAACGAGCGCAACCCUUAAGCUUAGUUGCCAUCAUUAAGUUGGGCACUCUAAGUUGACUGCCGGUGACAAACCGGAGGAAGGUGGGGAUGACGUCAAAUCAUCAUGCCCCUUAUGAUUUGGGCUACACACGUGCUACAAUGGACAAUACAAAGGGCAGCGAAACCGCGAGGUCAAGCAAAUCCCAUAAAGUUGUUCUCAGUUCGGAUUGUAGUCUGCAACUCGACUACAUGAAGCUGGAAUCGCUAGUAAUCGUAGAUCAGCAUGCUACGGUGAAUACGUUCCCGGGUCU
rnacentral:rRNA from 1 species